AUAGUAAUAACAAUACAGGGCAAUUGUCUUGUAAUUGGAAUGAUGGUGACGUAAAAUCUCACCAGAGUAACAAUUGGAGGGCAAGUCUGGUGCCAGCAGCCGCGGUAAUUCCAGCUCCAAUAGCGUAUAUUAAACUUGUUGCAGUUAAAAAGCUCGUAGUUGAAUUUCUGCGUUGCCCGACUCGGCUACUUGCCUUGUCUGGUUUCGCUUUUGGGGUUUUCCCCUUUUUACUUUGAGAAAAUUAGAGUGUUUCAAGCAGACUUGUGUCUUGAAUACUUCAGCAUGGAAUAAUAAAGUAGGACUUUGGUUCUAUUUUGUUGGUUUGUGAACCUUAGUAAUGGUUAAUAGGAACGGUUGGGGGCAUCC
rnacentral:rRNA from 1 species